rnacentral:rRNA from 1 species
UCGCUACUACCGAUUGAAUGGCUUAGUGAGCUCUCUGGACUGUUGCAUCUUGUUGGAAACUUCAAGGCGCAUGCGGGAAGGAGAUCAAACUUGAUCAUUUAGAGGAAGUAA